rfam:Pan troglodytes isolate Yerkes chimp pedigree #C0471 (Clint) chromosome 8, whole genome shotgun sequence.
AGCUUUGCGCAGUGGCAGUAUCGUAGCCAAUGAGGUUUCUCUGAGGUGCGAUUAUUGCUAAUAGAAAGCCAUG